rnacentral:rRNA from 1 species
GGUUAAGCGAACAAGCGUACACGGUGGAUGCCCUGGCAGUCAGAGGCGAUGAAGGACGUGCUAAUCUGCGAAAAGCGCCGGUAAGGUGAUAUGAACCGUUAUAACCGGCGAUGUCCGAAUGGGGAAACCCGGUGCACUUCGGUGCAUCAUCGUUAGCUGAAUACAUAGGCUAACGAAGCGAACCGGGGGAACUGAAACAUCUAAGUACCCCGAGGAAAAGAAAUCAACCGAGAUUCCCCCAGUAGCGGCGAGCGAACGGGGAACAGCCCAGAGCCUGAAUCAGCUUGUGUGUCAGUGGAACGGUCUGGAAAGGCCGGCGAUACAGGGUGACAGCCCCGUACACGAAGGCACACAGGCUGUGAGCUCGAUGAGUAGGGCGGGACACGUGAUAUCCUGUCUGAAGAUGGGGGGACCAUCCUCCAAGGCUAAAUACUCCUGACUGACCGAUAGUGAACCAGUACCGUGAGGGAAAGGCGAAAAGAACCCCGGCGAGGGGAGUGAAACAGAACCUGAAACCGUGUACGUACAAGCAGUGGGAGCCUUCGUAAGAGGGUGACUGCGUACCUUUUGUAUAAUGGGUCAGCGACUUAUAUUCUGUAGCAAGGUUAACCGUAUAGGGGAGCCGAAGGGAAACCGAGUCUUAAUUGGGCGUUAAGUUGCAGGGUAUAGACCCGAAACCCGGUGAUCUAGCCAUGGGCAGGUUGAAGGUUGGGUAACACUAACUGGAGGACCGAACCGACUAAUGUUGAAAAAUUAGCGGAUGACCUGUGGCUGGGGGUGAAAGGCCAAUCAAACCGGGAGAUAGCUGGUUCUCCCCGAAAGCUAUUUAGGUAGCGCCUCGUGAACUCAUCUCCGGGGGUAGAGCACUGUUUCGGCUAGGGGGCCAUCCCGGCUUACCAACCCGAUGCAAACUGCGAAUACCGGAGAAUGUUAUCACGGGAGACACACGGCGGGUGCUAACGUCCGUCGUGAAGAGGGAAACAACCCAGACCGCCAGCUAAGGUCCCAAAGUCAUGGUUAAGUGGGAAACGAUGUGGGAAGGCCCAGACAGCCAGGAUGUUGGCUUAGAAGCAGCCAUCAUUUAAAGAAAGCGUAAUAGCUCACUGGUCGAGUCGGCCUGCGCGGAAGAUGUAACGGGGCUAAACCAUGCACCGAAGCUGCGGCAGCGACGCUUAGGCGUUGUUGGGUAGGGGAGCGUUCUGUAAGCCUGCGAAGGUGUGCUGUGAGGCAUGCUGGAGGUAUCAGAAGUGCGAAUGCUGACAUAAGUAACGAUAAAGCGGGUGAAAAGCCCGCUCGCCGGAAGACCAAGGGUUCCUGUCCAACGUUAAUCGGGGCAGGGUGAGUCGACCCCUAAGGCGAGGCCGAAAGGCGUAGUCGAUGGGAAACAGGUUAAUAUUCCUGUACUUGGUGUUACUGCGAAGGGGGGACGGAGAAGGCUAUGUCAGCCGGGCGACGGUCGUCCCGGUUUAAGCGUGUAGGCUGACUUUCCAGGCAAAUCCGGAAGGUUAAGGCUGAGGCGUGAUGACGAGGCACCACGGUGCUGAAGUGACAAAUGCCCUGCUUCCAGGAAAAGCCUCUAAGCAUCAGGUAACAUCAAAUCGUACCCCAAACCGACACAGGUGGUCAGGUAGAGAAUACCAAGGCGCUUGAGAGAACUCGGGUGAAGGAACUAGGCAAAAUGGUGCCGUAACUUCGGGAGAAGGCACGCUGACAUGUAGGUGAAGCCCCUGCGGGUGGAGCUGAAGUCAGUCGAAGAUACCAGCUGGCUGCAACUGUUUAUUAAAAACACAGCACUGUGCAAACACGAAAGUGGACGUAUACGGUGUGACGCCUGCCCGGUGCCGGAAGGUUAAUUGAUGGGGUUAUCGCAAGAGAAGCUCCUGAUCGAAGCCCCGGUAAACGGCGGCCGUAACUAUAACGGUCCUAAGGUAGCGAAAUUCCUUGUCGGGUAAGUUCCGACCUGCACGAAUGGCGUAAUGAUGGCCAGGCUGUCUCCACCCGAGACUCAGUGAAAUUGAACUCGCUGUGAAGAUGCAGUGUACCCGCGGCAAGACGGAAAGACCCCGUGAACCUUUACUACAGCUUGACACUGAACAUUGAGCCUUGAUGUGUAGGAUAGGUGGGAGGCUUUGAAGCGUGGACGCCAGUCUGCGUGGAGCCAACCUUGAAAUACCACCCUUUAAUGUUUGAUGUUCUAACCUGGCGCCGUGAUCCGGCGUGGGGACAGUGUCUGGUGGGUAGUUUGACUGGGGCGGUCUCCUCCCAAAGUGUAACGGAGGAGCACGAAGGUCAGCUAAUCCUGGUCGGACAUCAGGAGGUUAGUGCAAUGGCAUAAGCUGGCUUGACUGCGAGAGUGACGGCUCGAGCAGGUGCGAAAGCAGGUCAUAGUGAUCCGGUGGUUCUGUAUGGAAGGGCCAUCGCUCAACGGAUAAAAGGUACUCCGGGGAUAACAGGCUGAUACCGCCCAAGAGUUCAUAUCGACGGCGGUGUUUGGCACCUCGAUGUCGGCUCAUCACAUCCUGGGGCUGAAGUAGGUCCCAAGGGUAUGGCUGUUCGCCAUUUAAAGUGGUACGCGAGCUGGGUUUAGAACGUCGUGAGACAGUUCGGUCCCUAUCUGCCGUGGGCGCUGGAGAAUUGAGGGGGGCUGCUCCCAGUACGAGAGGACCGGAGUGGACGCAUCACUGGUGUUCGGGUUGUCAUGCCAAUGGCACUGCCCGGUAGCUAAAUGCGGAAGAGAUAAGUGCUGAAAGCAUCUAAGCACGAAACUUGCCCCGAGAUGAGUUCUCCCUGAGACU